rnacentral:lncRNA from 12 species
UCAGUUUAUCCUCUCGUGUUCUUCAUUAACUUUCUGUGGGUGUUGUUCUUCUCAAAGGCCAAGGUUCAUGGUUCUGUUUUUUAAUUGCAAUUCCCUCUUUCCUACUUCUUCCAGGAGCAUCGGCUUUAUCAUUGCUUGUGAGAUUUACAGCGCUUCCUUCAUCGUCAGCUUGCUAAUAGGCAGUUGUUGAACUCCCUGGAGUCUAAACUAGGAAAUAUGAGCAGUAUGUAAUUGCUACAGCUGGAAUCGCAUUCCACUUCAGAAGCUUCUUAACAGCAUUCUCAGAUGUGUGAAUAUCCAUUAGUGACCCAAGGGGAUUACUCCCUGGCACCAAGUUUACCUUUACGAGAGGCCUGGAUGAUGAGACUUUCCCCUCCCGGAAGCAGAAGGGUGGAAAUUUCUCAUGCUUGAUCACAGCCCAGAGAUAAUUUGGUCCUGGAAAAUGCACACACCAUAUCUUUAUUCAUCUACACGGCUUAUCCUGUAUGUGAAGAAAAAGAAAAAAAAAUGAAGAAGAGCCACACACAGUUGAAAUAUUCCAUGUGUCUGGUCUUUGCUGAGGCAUAUUCUCCUGAGAAUAACCAUUUGAAAUAUGUUUUACAAAUUGAAUUUUUAAUGGAAUAUAUGUAGUAUGAGGUCAGGAGAAAUUCUUUAGUUACUUCUUUGAAGUUUAGUGUUGUAAAAAUAAUGCCAACACAGAUUGAGGAAUCUUUUGAAAUUACAUAACUGUGGUUUAGUCUUGCUUUUUAACCUAGAGGUAUAAUCUUUUUUCCCUUUUGAAAGACACCAGCAAAGCACUGCUCCGAGAAAUCUCUUUCCCACCUCCCCCUGCCUUUUGGCCAUAAUUAUGCUCCCAUCUCCCCCGAGCGGAUGAAGUCCCAGCCACCAUGUGCAGUCUUUGUGCUUUCAGCCUGCAGCCCAGGAAAUUACUACCUGUGUGGGCAGAUCCUUAGUGCCUAACUGCUAGAUCACACAAAACGCAGGACUCAGCAAGAGGGAAGGAAUGGGAGAGAAAAGGGAAAGGGGAGUGGGAGAGAAAGAAAGAAACGUCCGCCUCUUCCACCGGAAUACUCAUUUUUGAGAGUUUCAUAGCAAGGUUUACAAGGCAGAGUAGAAAGAUGGGGAUGUGUGUUCCCUUAUAAAUGGAAACAAAGCAAAAUACAUAAAAUAGCCUUAGUGACAUUUAAGAACAUGUUUACUACAAAGAGAAGAUACUCACCAAGUGAAAAC